UUCAGACAAACUCCGAAUGCCAAUUAAUUUAACUUGGGAGUCAGAACAUGGGUGAUAAGGUCCGUGUUCGAAAGGGAAACAGCCCAGACCACCAGCUAAGGUCCCAAAAUAUAUGUUAAGUGGAAAAGGAUGUGGCGUUGCCCAGACAACUAGGAUGUUGGCUUAGAAGCAGCCAUCAUUUAAAGAGUGCGUAAUAGCUCACUAGUCGAGUGACACUGCGCCGAAAAUGUACCGGGGCUAAACAUAUUACCGAAGCUGUGGAUUGUCCUUUGGACAAUGGUAGGAGAGCGUUCUAAGGGCGUUGAAGCAUGAUCGUAAGGACAUGUGGAGCGCUUAGAAGUGAGAAUGCCGGUGUGAGUAGCGAAAGACGGGUGAGAAUCCCGUCCACCGAUUGACUAAGGUUUCCAGAGGAAGGCUCGUCCGCUCUGGGUUAGUCGGGUCCUAAGCUGAGGCCGACAGGCGUAGGCGAUGGAUAACAGGUUGAUAUUCCUGUACCACCUAUAAUCGUUUUAAUCGAUGGGGGGACGCAGUAGGAUAGGCGAAGCGUGCGAUUGGAUUGCACGUCUAAGCAGUAAGGCUGAGUAUUAGGCAAAUCCGGUACUCGUUAAGGCUGAGCUGUGAUGGGGAGAAGACAUUGUGUCUUCGAGUCGUUGAUUUCACACUGCCGAGAAAAGCCUCUAGAUAGAAAAUAGGUGCCCGUACCGCAAACCGACACAGGUAGUCAAGAUGAGAAUUCUAAGGUGAGCGAGCGAACUCUCGUUAAGGAACUCGGCAAAAUGACCCCGUAACUUCGGGAGAAGGGGUGCUCUUUAGGGUUAACGCCCAGAAGAGCCGCAGUGAAUAGGCCCAAGCGACUGUUUAUCAAAAACACAGGUCUCUGCUAAACCGUAAGGUGAUGUAUAGGGGCUGACGCCUGCCCGGUGCUGGAAGGUUAAGAGGAGUGGUUAGCUUCUGCGAAGCUACGAAUCGAAGCCCCAGUAAACGGCGGCCGUAACUAUAACGGUCCUAAGGUAGCGAAAUUCCUUGUCGGGUAAGUUCCGACCCGCACGAAAGGCGUAACGAUUUGGGCACUGUCUCAACGAGAGACUCGGUGAAAUCAUAGUACCUGUGAAGAUGCAGGUUACCCGCGACAGGACGGAAAGACCCCGUGGAGCUUUACUGUAGCCUGAUAUUGAAAUUCGGCACAGCUUGUACAGGAUAGGUAGGAGCCUUUGAAACGUGAGCGCUAGCUUACGUGGAGG
rnacentral:rRNA from 1 species